rnacentral:tRNA from 2 species
CUAAUCUUAGUUUAAUUAAGAAUAAGGGUUUUGGGGAUCUUUGGUCUCAUUAUGAGAGAUUUGG